rnacentral:rRNA from 1 species
AUUGAACGCUGGCGGCAUGCCUAACACAUGCAAGUCGAGCGGACGGAGGGGGCGUGCUCCCCUAUUCAGCGGGCGACGGGCGAGUAAUGCCUACGAAGCUGCCUGGUCUAUGGGGAUAACGUCAGGACACGGGAGCUAAUACCGUACACGUCCAUAGGUUGAAAGGGGUGGUUCUUCGGACCUCGCGCUAUUUGAUGAGCCUAGGACGGAUUAGCUAGUUGGUUGGGUAAAGGCGUACCAAGGCGACGAUCCGUAGCUGCCCUGAGAGGAUGAUCAGCCACACUGGAACUGAGACACGGUCCAGACUCCUACGGGAGGCAGCAGUGGGGAAUCUUGGACAAUGGGCGAAAGCCUGAUCCAGCCAUGCCGCGUGUGUGAAGAAGGUCUUCGGAUUGUAAAGCACUUUUAGUUGGGAGGAAGGACUGUAUGUUAAUCCCUUGCUGUUUUGACGGUACCUACAGAAUAAGCACCGGCUAACUUCGUG